GAUGAAGAACGUAGCGAAAUGCGAUAAGUAAUGUGAAUUGCAGAAUUCAGUGAAUCAUCGAAUCUUUGAACGCACAUUGCGCCCCUUGGUAUUCCGAGGGGCAUGCCUGUUCGAGCGUCAUAACCCCUCAAGCUCAGCUUGGUGUUGGGGCCUGCCGCACGGGCAGCCCUUAAAAUCAGUGGCGGUGCCAUCUGGCUCUAAGCGUAGUAAUUCUUCUCGCUAUAGAGUCCCGGUGGAUGCUUGCCAUUAACCCCCAAUUUUCUAUGGUUGACCUCGGAUCAGGUAGGGAUACCCGCUGAACUUAAGCAUAUCAAUAAGCGGAGGA
rnacentral:misc_RNA from 1 species